rnacentral:rRNA from 1 species
CCUGGUCAUACUAGAGGGAAGUAAAAGUCGUCACCAUGGUCUCCGUUGGUGAACCAGCGGAGGGAUCAUUACCGAGUUUACACUCCCAAACCCCUGUGAACAUACCUUAUGUUGCCUCGGCGGAUCAGCCCGCGCCCCGUAAAAAGGACGGCCCGCCGCAGGAACCCUAAACUCUGUUUUUAGUGGAACUUCUGAGUAUAAAAAACAAAUAAAUCAAAACUUUCAACAACGGAUCUCUUGGUUCUGGCAUCGAUGAAGAACGCAGCCAAAUGCGAUAAGUAAUGUGAAUUGCAGAAUUCAGUGAAUCAUCGAAUCUUGAACGCACAUUGCGCCCGCCAGUAUUCUGGCGGGCAUGCCUGUUCGAGCGUCAUUUCAACCCUCAAGCCCAGCUUGGUGUUGGGAGCUGCAGUCCUGCUGCACUCCCCAAAUACAUUGGCGGUCACGUCGAGCUUCCAUAGCGUAGUAAUUUACAUAUCGUUACUGGUAAUCGUCGCGGCCACGCCGUUAAACCCCAACUUCUGAAUGUUGACCUCGGAUCAGGUAGGAAUACCCGCUGAACUAAGCAUAUCAUAAACGAAAAGA